UACAGAGGUCCCGAGCGUUAUUCGGAAUUACUGGGCGUAAAGCGCGCGUAGGCGGCAUUGCAAGUCGGGUGUGAAAUCCCCAGGCUUAACCUGGGAACUGCAUUCGAGACUGCAUUGCUAGAGUAUGGGAGAGGGAAGUGGAAUUUCCGGUGUAGCGGUGAAAUGCGUAGAUAUCGGAAGGAACAUCAGUGGCGAAAGCGACUUCCUGGACCAAUACUGACGCUCAUGUGCGAAAGCGUGGGGAGAAAACAGG
rnacentral:rRNA from 1 species